rnacentral:rRNA from 1 species
CAAUAGCGUAUAUUUAAGUUGUUGCAGUUAAAAAGCUCGUAGUCGGAUUUUGGCUGAGAACGAUCGGUCCGCCGUUAGGUGUGCACUGAUUGGUCUCAGCUUCCUGGUGAGGAGGUGUGCUUCACGGCCACUUAGUCACCGUGGUUACUUUGAAAAAAUUAGAGUGUUCAAAGCGGGCUUACGCUUGAAUAUAUUAGCAUGGAAUAACACCAUAGGACUCCUGUCCUAUUUCGUUGGUCACGGGACGGGAGUAAUGAUUAAGAGGAACAGUUGGGGGCAUUCGUAUUUCAUUGUCAGAGGUGAAAUUCUUGGAUUUAUGAAAGACGAACUUCUGCGAAAGCAUUUGCCAAGGAUGUUUUCGUUGA